rnacentral:rRNA from 1 species
UGCGUAGGCGGACUAAUAAGUCAGUGGUGAAAUCUCUCGGCUCAACCGGGAAACUGCCAUUGAUACUGUUAGUCUUGAGUUCGGUUGAGGUAGGCGGAAUGUGUAAUGUAGCGGUGAAAUGCUUAGAUAUUGCACAGAACACCAAUUGCGUAGGCAGCUUACUAGACCGACACUGACGCUGAGGCACGAAAGCGUGGGUAGCGAACAGGAUUAGAUACCCUGGUAGUCC